rnacentral:rRNA from 1 species
AUUGAACGCUGGCGGCAUGCUUUACACAUGCAAGUCGAACGGUAACAGGGUGCUUGCACCGCUGACGAGUGGCGAACGGGUGAGUAAUGCGUCGGAACGCACCGAGUAAUGGGGGAUAACGCAGCGAAAGCUGUGCUAAUACCGCAUACGCUCUGAGGAGGAAAGCGGGGGACCUUCGGGCCUCGCGUUAUUCGAGCGGCCGACGUCUGAUUAGCUAGUAGGUGAGGUAAGAGCUCACCUAGGCGACGAUCAGUAGCGGGUCUGAGAGGAUGAUCCGCCACACUGGGACUGAGACACGGCCCAGACUCCUACGGGAGGCAGCAGUGGGGAAUUUUGGACAAUGGGCGCAAGCCUGAUCCAGCCAUGCCGCGUGUCUGAAGAAGGCCUUCGGGUUGUAAAGGACUUUUGUCAGGGAGGAAAUCCUUAGCGCUAAUACCGUUGAGGGAUGACAGUACCGGGAGAAUAAGCUCCGGCUAACUCCGUGCCAGCCGCCGCCGUAA